AUGCAAGUCGUACGGGCCGCAAGGCCAGUGGCGUAAGGGUGAGUAAUGGGACGGCAACCAACCCCAGGGUCGGGCAUAGCCGAGGGAAACCUCGGGUAAUUCCCGGCGACGUGAAAUAUAGGCAUCUAUGUUUCACCACAGGUGCGAUUCCGCCCUGGGACGGGCCGUCUUGGUAUUAGCUUGUUGGCGGGGUAAUGGCCCACCAAGGCUACGAUGCCUACCGGGCGUGCGAGCGUGGCCCGGCACACUGGGACUGAGACACUGCCCAGACUCCUACGGGAGGCUGCAGUCGAGAAUCUUCGGCAAUGGGCGCAAGCCUGACCGAGCGACGCCGCGUGGAGGACGAAGGCCUUCGGGUUGUAAACUCCUGUCGAGGGGGAGGAAGGACGUGUGCAGAGCACGACUUGACCGAUCCCUGGAGGAAGCACGGGCUAAGUUCGUGCCAGCAGCCGCGGUAAGACGAACCGUGCGAACGUUAUUCGGAAUCACUGGGCUUAAAGCGCGUGUAGGCGGCUCGGCACGUCCGUCGCUGAAAGCCCCCGGCUCAACCGGGGAAGUGGCGUGGAUACGACCGAGCUAGAGGGACGUAGGGGGGGCUGGAACUUCCGGUGGAGCGGUGAAAUGCGUUGAGAUCGGAAGGAACGCCCGUGGCGAAAGCGAGCCCCUGGACGUCAACUGACGCUGAGACGCGAAAGCUAGG
rnacentral:rRNA from 1 species